rnacentral:rRNA from 1 species
GACGAACGCUGGCGGCGUGCUUAACACAUGCAAGUCGAACGGAAAGGCCCUGCUUUUGUGGGGUGCCCGAGUGGCGAACGGGUGAGUAACACGUGAGUAACCUGCCCUUGACUUUGGGAUAACUUCAGGAAACUGGGGCUAAUACCGGAUAGGAGCUCCCGCUGCAUGGUGGGGGUUGGAAAGUUUCGGCGGUUGGGGAUGGACUCGCGGCUUAUCAGCUUGUUGGUGGGGUAGUGGCUUACCAAGGCUUUGACGGGUAGCCGGCCUGAGAGGGUGACCGGCCACAUUGGGCCUGCGAUACGGCCCAGACUCCUACGGGAGGCAGCAGUGGGGAAUAUUGCACAAUGGGCGGAAGCCUGAUGCAGCAACGCCGCGUGCGGGAUGACGGCCUUCGGGUUGUAAACCGCUUUCGCCUGUGACGAAGCGUGAGUGACGGUAAUGGGUAAAGAAGCACCGGCUAACUACGUG